rnacentral:lncRNA from 1 species
CUGGAGGAAGCCAGCUGCCAGUCAUGAGGAUGCUCAAGCAACUGUAUGGAGAGAGCAAGUCCAUGUGGUGAGGAAUUGAGGCCUCCUGCCAACAACCAUGUGAGGGCACCAUCGUGCAGGUGGAUUCUGUAACUCAGUUCAACCUUUAGGUGAUUUAAACUCAGACCAACAUCAUGACUGUGAUCUCAUGAAAAUGACUGAAACUUGGAUCAACAUCUUGACUACAGUCUCAUGAAAUACCCUGAGCCAGGGCCACCCAGCCAAGCUGCUCCUGAUCCUCAGAACUUCUCUGAUGUGAUAGAAGUUUAUUGUUAUUUUAAGCCAGGCCCGGCCUCCAUUCUGGAAACCAAAAGGAAGAUCCUGAUGCUGAUUGUUCUCGGCCUUGCUGGAAGGGUGGCAGUAGGUUUCUGAGCCUACUCUCGAUGGAGCGUCUCCUGAAAUGAAGGUUCUAAGCUGGUUGGAUCUAAACCCAUCCAGCCAUCCUGCCACCCUGGAGGAAGGACCUGAUGGAGAAUCAAGUUCAAAGAGAGGAAAGCCCAACAAGAGAUGGAGAGACAGUCUCCUUGCUUGAGCCGUGGAGCCAACCAUGCCUGAAGGCAGGCACCCCUGGCCUUUUCAGUUUUGAGAGCCA